rnacentral:lncRNA from 1 species
AUCGACCUUCUCUCAACUCUGCAGAAUGCAGUUGAGAUGCAUAGAAAAAGUCUGGGCCUACUUACACCUAUUUGCUAGCAUGUCUUCGAAGAAUGUUACUAGAGAGAAGCAGGUACAGCCCUGUGAUUAUUAUACUUUGAACCUGAUGCUGUGCUGAACACAUAAAAGAGCACUUAUGAUGAGAGAUUGGAAAGAGAAUGAAAAAAAGGGAGCAAGAUCAUCCAGAGAACCAUGAAGUAGUGACCUUGAGUGAUGAGGUCUGGCAUUCAUCAGCAUUCACACAUCUGCAGAAGGGGUAUGAGGGAGAAAUGACUUCAUUAAUUGUGUCACCAAGUUUUUCUUCUCUUGAUUCCUAAGAAGAAGAAACAGAGAUUACAUGUGUUUACUUAAGUGGAAGCACUAACUGAAUGCUUACUGAGUGGAUAGAUGAAUAUCUUAAAAAAAAAAAAUGGUUUCUGUAGGCGUUGGAUUCUGCUCAAUGCUUAUGCCCACCCAGAAUGCUCUAUAAAACCUUCACUGUUGUUCUCAGGAUCAGCCUUCCUGAAUUCAUCCUAUAAACUUUUAAUGAGUGACCUAUUUGUAAAACUCCCUUCCAGAUUGGCAAAUACAAGUU